AUUGGCGAACGGGUGAGUAACGCGUGAGUAACCUGCCCUGGACUGGGGGACAACAGUUGGAAACGACUGCUAAUACCGCAUAAGCCCACGGUACCGCAUGGUACUGAGGGAAAAGGAUUAAUUCGCUUCAGGAUGGACUCGCGUCCAAUUAGCUAGUUGGUGAGGUAACGGCCCACCAAGGCGACGAUUGGUAGCCGGACUGAGAGGUUGAACGGCCACAUUGGGACUGAGACACGGCCCAGACUCCUACGGGAGGCAGCAGUGGGGGAUAUUGCACAAUGGGGGAAACCCUGAUGCAGCGACGCCGCGUGGAGGAAGAAGGUUUUCGGAUUGUAAACUCCUGUCGUUAGGGACGAUAAUGACGGUACCUAACAAGAAAGCACCGGCUAACUACGUGCCAGCAGCCGCGGUAAAACGUAGGGUGCAAGCGUUGUUCGGAAUUACUGGGUGUAAAGGGAGCGCAGGCGGACCGGCAAGUUGGAAGUGAAAUCCAUGGGCUCAACCCGUGAAUUGCUUUCAAAACUGCUGGCCUUGAGUAGUGCAGAGGUAGGUGGAAUUCCCGGUGUAGCGGCGGAAUGCGUAGAUAUCGGGAGGAACACCGGUGGCGAAGGCGGCCCUCUGGGCCGAGACCGACGCUGAGGCUCGAAAGUGUGGGUAGCAAACAGGAUUAGAUACCCUGGUAGUCCACACCGUAAACGAUGAUUACUAGGUGUUGGGGGAUUGACCCCUUCAGUGCCGCAAUUAACACAAUAAGUAAUCCACCUGGGGAGUACGACCGCAAGGUUGAAACUCAAAGGAAUUGACGGGGGCCCG
rnacentral:rRNA from 1 species